ACCACCCUCCAAGCCUAAGUACUCCUUACCGACCGAUAGUGAACUAGUACCGUGAGGGAAAGAUGAAAAGUACCCCGAUGAGGGGAGUGAAACAGUACCUGAAACCGGAUGCUUACAAGCUGAGGGAGCUCUUCGGAGUGACCUCGUACCUUUUGUAUAAUGGGUCAACGACUUAGUGUUGUAUGCAAGCUUAAGCCGAUAGGUGUAGGCGCAGCGAAAGCGAGUCUGAAUAGGGCGAAUGAGUUAGAUGGAUUAGACCCGAAACCCGGCGAUCUAGGCAUGACCAGGUUGAAGGUGCGGUAACACGCACUGGAGGA
rnacentral:rRNA from 1 species